AGAGUUUGAUCCUGGCUCAGGACGAACGCUGGCGGCGUGCUUAACACAUGCAAGUCGAACGAUGAAGGCGGGAGCUUGCUCCUGCUGGAUUAGUGGCGAACGGGUGAGUAACACGUGAGUAACCUGCCCUUGACUCUGGGAUAAGCGUUGGAAACGACGUCUAAUACCGGAUACGAGCUAGGACCGCAUGGUCACUAGCUGGAAAGAAUUUUGGUCAAGGAUGGACUCGCGGCCUAUCAGCUAGUUGGUGAGGUAAUGGCCCACCAAGGCGACGACGGGUAGCCGGCCUGAGAGGGUGACCGGCCACACUGGGACUGAGACACGGCCCAGACUCCUACGGGAGGCAGCAGUGGGGAAUAUUGCACAAUGGGCGCAAGCCUGAUGCAGCAACGCCGCGUGCGGGAUGAAGGCCCUAGGGUUGUAAACCGCUUUCAGCAGGGAAGAAAUUGACGGUACCUGCAGAAGAAGGUGCGGCCAACUACGUGCCAGCAGCCGCGGUGACACGUAGGCACCAAGCGUUGUCCGGAUUUAUUGGGCGUAAAGAGCUCGUAGGCGGUUCAGUUAGUCGGGUGUUAAAACUCU
rnacentral:rRNA from 1 species